ACUUCUGUACGUUUGUUGUAUUUUUGUCAGUUACAAGUGUCAUCAUGUUUAUGGAUAAGGAAACCUGCGAUGUGUUAGCGAAUUGGGGAUUCGCCGAUAAAAUCCCACAAUUUUAUUAUUGAAUUUGACUUCGCGUAUAAGAAGGGCAAAGAAGGAACAAUUUAUAUUCAGUGGCCAGAUUUAUCUAUCAAACUAUAUGAAUUAAUGCAGAAUGAAAUAAAAGACCCAACAUCUAGGACCUUGUUGGAAAUUCUUGCUACAACCGAUAUUCUCGGUGUCUAGAUAUCCAGCCGCAAGUAUGAUACAGAAAUGUUACUGGCUACUGGACCUUUAAAUCCAUGAAUUCCUUCAUUUCCAUGAAUUCUGCAAAUUCUGUGUUUUCUAUGAAUAUAAUAAAUACCAUAAAUGUCGUAAAUUCGAUGAAGGCCUUGAAUUUUCUGAAUGCCAUCUAUGAAAAUGACACUGUCUCCCAGUAGGACCACGGAAAAUCAUACCUAUGACCACGUCUCACAUGUAGGCCCAUACCUGCAUAUAGUGCCUAAUUGCAGUAAUUUGUAUACUAGAAAAUCGUAGCGAUUACGAGGAUAUAUUCCUUCAAUAACUUUUAUAUUCCGUUAUUUUUAC